GACGAAAUAGGUGCUUUGAAGAUUGUUGAAGCUACCAGUCUCGAACCCUAGGAGGCGAUUUUCCCCAAUGCUCGAACCCUAGCCGUCGAUCCAUCUCGGGCGGCUCACGCCGUCGCCUUACACCGAGCCCUCUUCUCCGGCGUUCCCAUAUCCUUGUCCUUUCGCUUACCCUUUGCCGUGGAUCGCCGGUCGACUUGGUUUUCCGAUUGAGGGGGCUACUUCAGCUUUUGCUUUUGAUUUCACCAGGUGCCAAUCUCAAUCAUCGGGAUUCUUUAACGUUUUCAACACUCACCGAUCUGUCUAGAUGAAGGUAUGUGCAUUGCUUUUUUCUUAGGCGGCUGGGCCCUUUUCUUUGCAUGUGCUUUCUGUGUUCGGGUAUUUGAUCUGAGGUUGAAGGAGUAGACUGUUGUUUGGUUUAUGGGUGUGUAUAUGCCUGGAGGAUAUCUCUUCUAGGGUAGACUGAUUGCUCCAUUGAAGAAAUUACGUUUUGUUGUUCUAUUUGUUUGUGUUGUUUGUUUGGCUGUUGUGGUGGUGAUCUUGGUUUCGACAGAUAGGUAGGAGGUAUUUUGGUUUGUUAUUAAUGGUAUAAGUUUCCAGUGUUCAUGGCUGUGAGGGAUCGUGAUAGAAACAGUGGGGGCUGUGGAUUCUUGUCCUUGAUAAGCAUAAGAAACAGGGGGGAGGGGGUUUCAAGUAAUCAAUUAGUGACUGUUUGUGGACAAUUUUCCAAAGGGCGUAAGUAUGAGAUGGGUAAGGAGCCUUUUUCAACAUUUUGGGGUAGUGAAGGAUGUCUAUAUUCCUAGAAAAAGAAGUAAGGUUACAUGUAGUAUCUUUGGAGUUAAACCUGUAGUAUCCAGGGUACUCUUAAGAUGUUCCUUUAAGUUAAUAAACCUGUUGAAUGCCAUUGUUAUACAGUAUACACUAUGCGCCAAAGGUGUUUGACAAAAUGCCUGAUCUUUUUUUCAUCGGCUUCUCCAUUAUCCCCUCGCGACAGCAAAUAAGUUCUGCGGCCGCCAUUACGGGUCGUUGCCUAGAAUACUCUCCAACUGGACCUUUACAAUUUUGCAUGGUAAGCAUUCCCAAAGGUAAUAAUGUGACGUCGAGUUCCAGAUCAUUAUGCAAUUGGUCAUAACGAAAAAUUGUUGCACUAAAGAUGUUUGAUGAAUUGCUUCAAUUGGCAUUGUGUAUGAUCCAAACAUGUUUGACAUAUCACUUAUUUUCUUUUUCUGUCUCUUUGAUGGUAAAUCCACAUUGACGAUCUCACUGCAAUGACAAACUGAUGAAAGGCAAAAGAGGACCUAGCAUUAGAUGCUAUGGGUGGUUAACUCCAGUUUGUUUUGGGCCAAUAACCAAAUCCCUACUUCACUGUGUAAUUCCAGUUGAGUGCCUACUGUGUUCAUUAUCAUGCUUUCUAUUACUUUCUUGAAGUCGGUGUUCCUUUACUUAACAAUUGUCCAAAGAACAUAUAAAAUUGUGCAUAAUUCUUAUGUUUAGCUUUGGUCACAUUGGAUGUCAUCUGUUGACCUACUGUUUUUGGUAGAUAUUCCACAUAUUCAUCCAUCAAAAUUGGAAGCCAAGAAUAAAAAGAGAUUGAAGGCAGAAAUUCUUGGAAGGGAAACCCAAAUGUGUUUGAAGGUCAUAUUCGAAGACCAUAAAGUGGGCAAGUUGUUGGGUUAAAGCAUACGAUGGAUACACUAUUUUCCUUGUUGAUGAAGCUGAACCAGCUAGAAUCGGGUGAUGUUCAGUCCACUCACAAUUGAUGUUAAACCAAUUCUGAAUUCUUAGUGAAGUUGGUCCAUAGCUUCAUUCUUAGACAAGCUAUUGGUGCAACUGUAACAAGUCCUCGGUUUCCUUGUAAACAUACCAAGUUUCUUUUUCUUUUGGGAUAGAUAAGCAGAUGAUGUUUCAAGGUAGUUGGAAAUGAUUGAUCAUGCGAGAUUGUGUAUUCAUUUAUUGGCGCGAAAAAUAGAUUGCCACAUUCAGCAUUUGUUGCGAAUUUUUAGGUUCUAAUACCAUGUAAAAACAUAAGCUGGAUUUUACUUAAACUUUGGAAUGAUAUGAAUAGGGAUUAUCCCUCAAAUUAUCAGUCUCUAAAUCUUAGAAACAUUGAUGCAUACUUACCGACUCAUUUGCAAUCUGAAUUUGAAGAAUUCCACGUGCCUUGCACGUGCAAUCUUACUAGUUAUCGCUAAAUGGGUGAAUGUUGAUCUUUGUUGUCUGUUUAUGCUGCUAUAUCCUUGUUAACUACUGGUAUAUUUGAGAUUUCAGUGCAUACUUGCCAAAAUCGAAGUUCUACUGUUCUAGUCUUCAAUUCAUAUUGAUGGUUGGUUGGCUAUUUGUAAUUUCAAUUCAUAUUGAUGUUGUCUUCCACUCUAUGUAGGUCUGCGGCUUGAAAGAGAAAUUGAUGGUUCGUGACUUUUUGUCGGAGAUGUAGAUACGAUCUUGCCAGUGCUCGUUGGAACGUCGAAGCCUAUCGUUCUUAUGAUACAUGUUCUCGUACUGAUAUUCUUGUAUAUAAGUUUAGCAUAGUACUUGAUGCUGGAUCAACUUUUGUUAUUUUGGAGAUGUAAUGCUUUGAACAUAUUGCUAAGGAAUGAGUAAUAAAUUGUGUCCUUCAGUUU